rnacentral:tRNA from 1 species
CGAAGUAUAGCUUAUGUGAGUUAAGCAUUUCAUUUACACUGAAAAGGAAUCUGUGCAAUUCAGUUUAUUUUGA